rnacentral:rRNA from 1 species
CAAUAGCGUAUAUUAAAGUUGUUGCAGUUAAAAAGCUCGUAGUUGGACCUUGGACCUGGACAGGCGGUCCGCCUCACGGCGAGUACUGUCUUGCUGGGUCCUUCCUCUUGGUGAUCUGUUGUUUCGGCAGCAGGGAACCAGGACCUUUACUUUGAAAAAAUUAGAGUGUUCAAAGCAGGCUCGACGCCGGAAUAUAUUAGCAUGGAAUAAUAAAAUAGGACGUGCGGUUCUAUUUUGUUGGUUUUUGGAAUCGCCGUAAUGAUUAAUAGGGACAGUCGGGGGCAUUAGUACUCACAUGCUAGAGGUGAAAUUCUUGGAUUUUGUGAAGACUAACUUCUGCGAAAGCAUUUGCCAAGGAUGUUUNCAUUA